rnacentral:lncRNA from 1 species
ACCUACUAGCUAUGUAAACCUGGGGUAUUCAAAGAAGAUUAGCAACUCUGGUGUGAGGACUCCUUGAGCCCUUUUCAAGGCAAUUCCCUCUUUUGAUGUCCAUCCAGCUGCCACCCAGCUCUCAUCUAUGGCUUCAAGAAGCUUUAGCAUGCACAGUGGCCACCCCCUGGUAAACCAUCUCAGGAAGUGUGCUAAAACAACUUGAGGGCAACUGACAGCUUCAAACCUGUUGCCUUGCCCCGGGCGGUCUCGUCAGGAAUAAAUAGAAGCUGACACAGUCAUUUGCUUAAAUCUUCUACGCAUUUUCACCGCAUUUCCCUCCCGAGGAUUCUCUAGAAACAGCCUGGGUCUGAAAUGUCCCUGAGGGCGACCCAGACCACCGCAGGAGCAUCAAACCAUUACCGGCCAGGAAUCACGUGUUUAGUCUGCAGAGAGAUGCUGUGAGAGCUGAGGACUCUGAGACAGAGAGACGCUACUACUCUCUUCAAGCUCUCAUGACCUCUGGUGUAGAUAUCUUCGUCAACUUUCUCCUAAUCGGUCUUCACGUAUGUUGUCUCUCCCUUUUUCAAUACAAA